rnacentral:rRNA from 1 species
UGGCUAACUCCGUGCCAGCAGCCGCGGUAAUACGGAGAGGGCUAGCGUUAUUCGGAAUCAUUGGGCGUAAAGGGCGCGUAGGCGGAUUAGUAAGUUAAAAGUGAAAUCCCAAGGCUCAACCUUGGAAUUGCUUUUAAAACUGCUAGUCUAGAGAUUGAAAGAGGAUAGAGGAAUUCCUAGUGUAGAGGUGAAAUUCGUAAAUAUUAGGAGGAACACCAGUGGCGAAGGCGUCUAUCUGGUUCAAGUCUGACGCUGAGGCGCGAAGGCGUGGGGAGCAAACAGGAUUAGAUACCCUGGUAGUCCAC